rnacentral:rRNA from 1 species
UACGAAGGGUGCAAGCGUUAAUCGGAAUUACUGGGCGUAAAGGGUGUGUAGGCGGUUGCUUAAGUUUGGUGUGAAAUCUCCCGGCUCAACCGGGAGGGUGCGCCGAAUACUGAGUGACUAGAGUGCGGGAGAGGAAAGUGGAAUUCCUGGUGUAGCGGUGAAAUGCGUAGAUAUCAGGAGGAACACCGGUGGUGUAGACGGCUUUCUGGACCGUAACUGACGCUGAGACACGAAAGCGUGGGUAGCAAACAGG